GACGAACGCUGGCGGCGUGCCUAAUACAUGCAAGUUGAGCGCUGAAGGUUGGUACUUGUACCAACUGGAUGAGCAGCGAACGGGUGAGUAACGCGUGGGGAAUCUGCCUUUGAGCGGGGGACAACAUUUGGAAACGAAUGCUAAUACCGCAUAAAAACUUUAAACACAAGUUUUAAGUUUGAAAGAUGCAAUUGCAUCACUCAAAGAUGAUCCCGCGUUGUAUUAGCUAGUUGGGGAGGUAAAGGCUCACCAAGGCGAUGAUACAUAGCCGACCUGAGAGGGGGAUCGGCCACAUUGGGACUGAGACACGGCCCAAACUCCUACGGGAGGCAGCAGUAGGGAAUCUUCGGCAAGGGACGAAAGUCUGACCGAGCAACGCCGCGGGAGGGAAGAAGGGUUUCGGAUCGGAAAACUCUGUUGGUAGAGAAGAACGUUGGUGAGAGUGGAAAGCUCAUCAAGUGACGGUAACUACCCAGAAAGGGACGGCUAACUACGUG
rnacentral:rRNA from 1 species